CCCUGGAUGGGUGCUGUUUUCUCUCAGCCCACAUCAUUGGUGGGACCUGGGCAGCUGGGAGAGCUGAAAAGUGCCAGGAAACAUGCUCGUUCUGUUUCAGUGUUUUUAUGAAGGAGACAAAAAGGGGUGCCCUUACCCCCGGGUUGAAGCCAGGGAGGGGUCCUGUAGAUUCAGGACACAUGGGCACAGUGUGGGCCCUGGACUGGAGGGUUUUUGAGGGGGUAAGGAGAUGGGCCUUUGAACUCUCCUUUUCCUGCCUCCUUUUCCGUUGGUGGAAGUGACCAGCUUUGAACAGAGCUCUCCCCUUGACUCUGAACUCACCUCCCUCUGCUGUGAGCCGUGCGCGUGAGGCACCUCUUGGUUUAGACACAGGGCUGCGAGGAGGACCCUGUUUAGAACCUCCUUAUGGCUCAUUCUCAUGGCAUGUGACUCCCGUUCUGGUCCCUUUUCUUCUCUCUACCCCAGGCUCUUAAGAGGAGGGGGAAGAAAAGCAUCUGUGGCUCCUUUAGGCCAACAACGGGUGUGGAGAGCCGCCCAUCUGUAGCCAUUCUGAGGCCUGUUGAGAGCCGGAAGACAAAAAGGAGACGUGGCAUCUCUGACUACACCUCUAGAGAAUCGACUUUGACGUUGAGAAAUUGAAUAGUAAAAGCCACUUGGAAAGAAGGAGGGGGUCGCGCCAGAGAAGGGCAUAAACGCUGAUGGUGGGAAUGGGAUUUAGGGAGACGGCAUUACAGAGAAGACUUCCUUCUAAUUCAUCUUCCAAGCUCCGUGCCAAAACAGCAUUUGGCAUGGUUCACAGGGAGUGAUUGUGUGAUAAUGAACCCUAAGGUGUCCCUUAAUUGAAGACUGAGCAUUGCGGUUUGUGCCAAGAGUCAUAAAUGGCGCAGGCUUGCGGGAGGAUGCAUUUUCUUAAAUGUAUCGACUUCAAUCGAGAGAAACACAAUUGCCCGCCAGGAGCUCAUGGUCAAGGAGCGGGGACCCUGCCGUCGCCACCAAGUGAGAUGCUUGGUAGGAGGAAGAAACGGUCGUGAAAGUUGGUGCCACGUGACAGCCACGGGCGAGGCCCUGCCGGUGCACUGCAGUCAACCAUCUUCACUGAUUCUGUAUUUGCAAAUUCACCUACUCACUAAAAUGUGUUUAUAACCUUAAGAUCAACA